ensembl:miRNA MIR34B microRNA 34b
GUGCUCGGUUUGUAGGCAGUGUCAUUAGCUGAUUGUACUGUAGUGGUUACAAUCACUAACUCCACUGCCAUCAAAACAAGGCAC